GAUGAACGCUAGCUACAGGCUUAACACAUGCAAGUCGAGGGAGUGGCGAACGGGUGAGUAACAUAUCGGAACGUACCGAGUAAUGGGGGAUAACUAAUCGAAAGAUUAGCUAAUACCGCAUAUUAUUCGAGCGGCCGAUAUCUGAUUAGCUGGUUGGUGGGGUAAAGGCCUACCAAGGCGACGAUCAGUAGCGGGUCUGAGAGGAUGAUCCGCCACACUGGGACUGAGACACGGCCCAGACUCCUACGGGAGGCAGCAGUGGGGAAUUUUGGACAAUGGGCGCAAGCCUGAUCCAGCCAUGCCGCGUGUCUGAAGAAGGCCUUCGGGUUGUAAAGGACUUUUGUCAGGGAAGCGGUACCUGAAGAAUAAGCACCGGCUAACUACGUGCCAGCAGCCGCGGUAAUAC
rnacentral:rRNA from 1 species